CCUACGGGAGGCUGCAGUGAGGAAUAUUGGUCAAUGGCCGGGAGACUGAACCAGCCAAGCCGCGUGAGGGAAGACGGCCCUACGGGUUGUAAACCUCUUUUGUCAGGGAGCAAAGUCCAGGUCGGGACCUGCGGUGAGAGUACCUGAAGAAAAAGCAUCGGCUAACUCCGUGCCAGCAGCCGCGGUAAUACGGAGGAUGCGAGCGUUAUCCGGAUUUAUUGGGUUUAAAGGGUGCGCAGGCGGAGGCCAAAGUCAGCGGUAAAAGCGCGGGGCUCAACCCCGCUCCGCCGUUGAAACUGUGUCGCUUGAGUGCGCGAAGGGUAGGCGGAAUGCGUGGUGUAGCGGUGAAAUGCAUAGAUAUCACGCAGAACUCCGAUCGCGAAGGCAGCCUACCGGCGCGAAACUGACGCUGAUGCACGAAAGCGUGGGUAUCGAACAGGAUUAGAUACCCCAGUAGUC
rnacentral:rRNA from 1 species